rnacentral:rRNA from 1 species
GACGAACGCUGGCGGCGUGCUUAACACAUGCAAGUCGAACGGAAAGGCCCUGCUUUUGUGGGGUGCUCGAGUGGCGAACGGGUGAGUAACACGUGAGUAACCUGCCCUUGACUUUGGGAUAACUUCAGGAAACUGGGGCUAAUACCGGAUAGGAGCUCCUGCUGCAUGGUGGGGGUUGGAAAGUUUCGGCGGUUGGGGAUGGACUCGCGGCUUAUCAGCUUGUUGGUGGGGUAGUGGCUUACCAAGGCUUUGACGGGUAGCCGGCCUGAGAGGGUGACCGGCCACAUUGGGACUGAGAUACGGCCCAGACUCCUACGGGAGGCAGCAGUGGGGAAUAUUGCACAAAGGGCGGAAGCCUGAUGCAGCAACGCCGCGUGCGGGAUGACGGCCUUCGGGUUGUAAACCGCUUUCGCCUGCGACGAAGCGUGAGUGACGGUAAUGGGUAAAGAAGCACCGGCUAACUACGUG